rnacentral:rRNA from 1 species
GACAGAGGGUGCAAACGUUGUUCGGAGUUAUUGGGCGUAAAGGGCUCGUAGGCGGUUUGUCGCGUCGGGAGUGAAAACCUCGGGCUUAUCUCGGGGCUUGCUUUCGAUACGGGCAGACUGGAGGUAUGCAGGGGAGAACGGAAUUCCUGGUGUAGCGGUGAAAUGCGCAGAUAUCAGGAGGAACACCGGUGGCGAAGGCGGGUCUCUGGGCCGUAACUGACGCUGAGGAGCGAAAGCGUGGGGAGCGAACAGG